UUAAUUGAAACCAAAGUAGAGGUAAAUCAUUGUUAAUGAUUAAAUUAGAAAUAAAUCUCAGUUAAA
rnacentral:tRNA from 1 species